AGAAAGAUGGCUGAGUGGAUUAAAUUGUCAGAUUUGUAAUCUAGUGUAUGAGCUAAUUGUAUUGAAGGUUUGAAUCCUUUUCUUUCCA
rfam:Citrus clementina cultivar Clemenules unplaced genomic scaffold scaffold_3, whole genome shotgun sequence.